UAAGGAAUAUUGGUCAAUGGACGCAAGUCUGAACCAGCCAUGCCGCGUGAAGGAUGAAGGUCCUCUGGAUUGUAAACUUCUUUUAUCUGGGACGAAAACGGGAUUUUUAUCUCAAUUGACGGUACCAGAGGAAUAAGCACCGGCUAACUCCGUGCCAGCAGCCGCGGUAAUACGGAGGGUGCGAGCGUUAUCCGGAUUUACUGGGUUUAAAGGGUGCGUAGGUGGGCUUAUAAGUCAGUGGUGAAAUCUCCGAGCUUAACUUGGAAACGGCCGUUGAUACUAUAGGUCUUGAAUUAUCUGGAGGUAAGCGGAAUAUGUCAUGUAGCGGUGAAAUGCUUAGAUAUGACAUAGAACACCAAUUGCGAAGGCAGCUUACUACAUAUAAAUUGACGCUGAGGCACGAAAGCGUGGGGAUCAAAC
rnacentral:rRNA from 1 species